GGACUGUCUGUAUGUCCAUAUUCAUUUAAAAGAAGAUUAUUGAUGAAGAUGUUGACCACACUUUUAUUUCUUCUCCAUAUCAUCCCUCAGAAUGCAGACAUGUAAAUGUACUUUCAUUGUGUUUUGUCCUAAAUAAAUUAUCCAAAGAAAAGAUCCAAAAUUGUCAAGGAAUCAGAGUUAAUUCCAAAGCAAGAGGCUAUUGACCAGAGACUGAAAUAAGAUAUUGCAAUGUAUGGUUUAGUCUGAGGUGGCACAGUGCCUUAUCCUCACUGCCUAAAGACAACGAUCUUUACAACUAUUUAAC